rnacentral:rRNA from 1 species
UACGUAGGGGGCAGGCGUUGUCCGGAUUCAUUGGGCGUAAAGAGCUCGUAGGCGGUUCAGUAAGUCGGGUGUGAAAGCUCCGAGCUCAACUCGGAGAGGCCACCCGAUACUGCUGUGACUUGAGUCCAGUAGAGGAGCGUGGAAUUCCUGGUGUAGCGGUGAAAUGCGCAGAUAUCAGGAGGAACACCAGCAGCGAAGGCGGCGCUCUGGGCUGGAACUGACGCUGAGGAGCGAAAGCGUGGGUAGCAAACAGG